AAUAUCAUCCGACUGUGGAGCUUCGUCGGGGCGGUUGAGUUUUCUCCAAUUUUCUUCAAUUUUCUUCGUUUUAAUUCAAUUGGAGACUGAAAACCCUUCUUCCCACUUCCCAGUAUCGCCAUUGAUUCAAAAUCCCAAUCGUUCUGCAUUCAAUUGGCAUCCAAUUUUCGAUAUCUGAAGUAUCGUUUCUUUCUUAUUCAACUGUUUCCUUUCGGGUGCUGAGGAUCGAAGCUCUUAUGGCAUCCAAGAAGAAACAAUCUGAAGGAAUAGCUUUACUCUCGAUGUACAAUGAUGAGGAUGAUGAAAUGGAAGACGUUGAAGACCUAGAAGAAGAAGAAGAAGAUGGUGAGCUCCAUCCGCAACAGAUGCAAGAAGAGGGAGGAGAGGAAGAUUAUGCUGGAGUUAGGGUUGCAGAAGAAGAGUUGGUUGCAAACAGUGAUAGAAUGAUUAUCAGUGAUUCUGCUAAUGAUUCGACGCCACCGGUUGCUAGUGAAAAUUUGACUCCAGAUAAGCUCAAAUACGGGUCAUCCACACCGCAGCCACCCCAGGUUGUGGUUUCAUCGUCGCCAAUGGUAUUACAGACUGGGCAAUUAGAUAAUUCUGGUAGGAGAAGGGGGACACUUGCGAUAGUUGAUUACGGUCAUGAUGAAGCCGCAAUGUCUCCUGAGGCUGAGGAUGGAGAAAUUGAGGAAUCUGGUCGUGUCACAUUUGGUGACGAGCUUUUAGGCACUAAUGGUGAUUUUGAUAGAACAUCUCCCGGAACUGUAACGAUCUCAACAUCAAACAAUCUAUCCACUCCUCAAAUUUCUGAAUCGCCACAUUCUGGUUCAAUGAACAAUGGGAUGCCAGAAUCUGAAACUGAAAAAGUUGAGGAAACUGUUGAAGAAGAGAAAAAAGAUAUUGAUCCCUUGGACAAGUUUCUUCCUCCUCCACCAAAAGAAAAAUGCUCAGAGGAUCUGCAAAGGAAAAUCAAUAAGUUUCUCGAGUAUAAGAAAGCUGGAAAAAGCUUCAAUGCAGAAGUACGGAAUAGGAAGGACUACCGGAAUCCAGAUUUCUUGUUACAUGCUGUGAGGUAUCAAGAUAUUGACCAGAUUGGGUCUUGCUUCAGUAAGGAAGUGUUUGACCCUCAUGGAUAUGAUAAAAGUGACUACUAUACGGAAAUAGAGGCCGACAUGAAACGUGAGAUGGAGAGGAAGGAGCUGGAAAGGAAGAAAAGUCCGAAGAUGGAGUUUGUUUCAGGAGGAACCCAACCUGGUGGUACAGUUGUUACUGCUCCUAAAAUAAAUAUACCUUUUUCAGGUGUUUCAGCUAUCACAAGUAGUGGAUUGCAUUCAGCAGCUCCUGCAUCUGAUGCCAUUCCUAGGGAUGGAAGACAAAACAAAAAAUCAAAAUGGGAUAAGGUAGAUGGAGAUAGAAGGAAUCCAGUAAUUUCUGGCGGGUCAGAUGCAGCUAGUGCCCAUGCAGCUUUACUAUCUGCUGCUAAUGUUGGCUCUGGAUACAUGGCUUUUGCGCAACAAAGACGGCGAGAGGCUGAAGAAAAAAGAUCCAGCGAGAGGAAAUUGGAUAGAAGAUCAUAAAAGCAAAUAAGUUCUGUUCCAUAGUUUUAAGUAUCAAACGAUUUUGAAAAGGAAGGGAAAUGGCUUGUAGCUUCGUAUCUUUGACUAACCAUGUAUACGGUCAGAACAAAAAUAUGAUCAGGGGGAAAAGUGGAAAACAAAUUGCACCAGACCGAAGGAGGAGGCUCCUUUUUCUGUGGUGAUUGCAUAUUUUCAACACAAGUACGUGUGGGUCAGCUUGAAAAGGUAAGUCAUUGGCACCCGAAAAAUGGUUUGAAGUUCCUUUUUUUUUUCUUUUCCCUCCACUCGAGAGAAUAUGCAAUGGGAUUCUUUGGAUUGGAAGGCCAAAGACUGUUUAUUCUCCUCUCAUUUUCUAACCAACAAUACUUUGGUGCUUCUCAUGAGUCCAUAUUCGUGCAUUCUACUUUAAUAAAAGAAAAGAAGUAUUUUCAAAGAAAAGUAAGAAGAGUUGACAUGGAAAAACUACGAAUAAUUAGGUAGAUGCAUGAAAAUGAAUGCAGCUUAGGAUGCACCUAAAACUUAUUUUUUAUGUGGGUAGACCAAUAUAUCCUUACAAAACAAAAAAGUUUGACAUCGAUGGUAGAGAUUAAUUCAGUAUUUUUGACAUAAAAAAUUAUCAUCCAUUAAUCUCAAUAUAAAUAUGAUUGACAAAUAAAAAUAACUGAAUAUACUACUUCAUCAAGUACAUAGAUGUUUUAAAUCUUUGGAUGCUCUAGGAUGUUUCAGUUUUGUGAGUGUGUAGUAAAAGACCAAAAUACACACCUGCUUUGUCGAUGGUGGAAAUGGAUUUAUAUGUUUUUGCACCCUUUAAUUUGCUUUUUGGUUAAAACUGCUUUUGUUGGUAGUUGCUUUUGGAAUAGAACACAAGUUUUCUUCUUUUGAGAGAGAGAAAGGAAGAGAUGCAUGUGAAGGUAAGGUAAAAGAGUUGUCCCAUUGCCAUGGUUGCCUUUGCAUGGAUAAAUUAAUGCACGCUUUCACCUCAGUUGAGACCAGAGAAAAGGGUGACGGAGUUUCCGGUGCUUCUUAUUAUUUUUAUGCAUCACCUUUCACCUUUGUGUAGUUAUACAUCAUCUAUCAUCCUUUUAUAUUGGCCACAUAAAAAUAACCCCUCAAAGUUUCAUCUUUUAUGGUCACUAUCCUUUUUUAUAAAUUGUUAUAACAGUCUCUCUUGAUCCCUCCCGAUCAAAAUCGACCGUGAGAUUUGAUUAAAGUA